UUCUUUGGAUUACUUGAAAACAUUAUGCCGUGGAUACAACACGAAGAUUUGGAUGGCAGUUCCCAUUGAUCCUGCUUGCAGCUUCUUUCCUGUUUCACACCUUCCAUGUAACCCACUUGAAACUGCACGUGUAUUGAAUAGAGCAGAUGGAAACAGCAGCAAAGUACAGAAUGGAAAGAGAGAGGCUAGCUUCUUCCUUCUGCAUUACCAUUAUGAUGAGAAGGAUAUAAGAACCGGUUAAGCAAGCCAUGUCUCUGGCAUAGUUACCAUCCCUGGAGGGAGCACCAACCUUACGCAACAUGUGACAUCCCUUCAUGAACAGCAUGGGAGUAGCAUAGAUCAAGGGCAGGAUACCCUUCUGCUGAAGAAAUACAGUAUUUGAUAAUUGAUUAUACAUUAGUAGGAAGAUUUAAACAUUAAGAGGAAACCAGAAAGAGGCUUGGGAGUGCUGAGUUCUAUGUGUGUGCUCCACAGGAGUAUGUUUAUUCUAAUGGGAGGCUUGGGAGUGCUGUAUGCUGUGCAGCGCUAUAGAGCAGUUUGGCUUUCUGUGGCUAAAAGUAGUCAUGCUGGUUUGGUGAGGCAACUUAGAGCCAGCGUAUGCACCUUGGGUUAUGUUUGAUUGUUGUAGCUUGUGCUGCAUUCCCACGGGUUGGUUAAUGAGACUGUAACUGUGCUGUCUUUACGGUGCUCUAAGAGUUGACAUUGUUACUGCUUUACUGUACUUUAAGAGAAACUUUCAGGAAAUUAUGGUUACUUGUUUUGAGUUUUCUUCAAUAUUGUUCAGCAACUCAAAAUUAGUAGCUUUCAUUAGUUGGGAGAACAAUUCUGAUUAGGAAGAUGAGGAAAAUUUUAAAUUAUAUUUACAGAAUUAAAUAUGAUGAAGAACAAUACAUAUAUUACAUCAUAUUAAUCUCUUAAAUUUUAGCUAAUCUGUGAUGUGUUGUUUUUUCAGUCUUUAUGCUUGAGUGCUCUUUCAUCAUAAGAGCUCAUGUCUCAAAGAAGUGUGUCCAGAAUAUCUUGAGAGGAGUGAUAGAAAAUAAUAAGCAACUGAAAGAGGUUAGCAAAUCUGAGAAAUUCAUACACAUGCCUUAGGAAGUAAAAGAUGCUUUUUCAAUAAACUAUGGAUAAGUUUUAAAGUAAAAAAGGAA
rnacentral:lncRNA from 1 species